GGGUUGUGAGGUUAAGCGACUAAGCGUACACGGUGGAUGCCCUGGCAGUCAGAGGCGAUGAAGGACGUGCUAAUCUGCGAAAAGCGCCGGCGAGGUGAUAUGAACCUUUGACCCGGCGAUGUCCGAAUGGGGAAACCCAGUGUGAUUCGUCACACUAUCGUUAACUGAAUACAUAGGUUAACGAGGCGAACCGGGGGAACUGAAACAUCUAAGUACCCCGAGGAAAAGAAAUCAACCGAGAUUCCCCCAGUAGCGGCGAGCGAACGGGGAGCAGCCCAGAGUCUGAAUCAGCUUGUGUGUUAGUGGAAGCGUCUGGAAAGUCGCACGGUACAGGGUGACAGUCCCGUACACGAAAGCACACAGGUUGUGAACUCGAAGAGUAGGGCGGGACACGUGGUAUCCUGUCUGAAUAUGGGGGGACCAUCCUCCAAGGCUAAAUACUCCUGACUGACCGAUAGUGAACCAGUACCGUGAGGGAAAGGCGAAAAGAACCCCGGCGAGGGGAGUGAAAAAGAACCUGAAACCGUGUACGUACAAGCAGUGGGAGCACCUUCGUGGUGUGACUGCGUACCUUUUGUAUAAUGGGUCAGCGACUUAUAUUCUGUAGCAAGGUUAACCGUAUAGGGGAGCCGAAGGGAAACCGAGUCUUAACUGGGCGUUAAGUUGCAGGGUAUAGACCCGAAACCCGGUGAUCUAGCCAUGGGCAGGUUGAAGGUUGGGUAACACUAACUGGAGGACCGAACCGACUAAUGUUGAAAAAUUAGCGGAUGACUUGUGGCUGGGGGUGAAAGGCCAAUCAAACCGGGAGAUAGCUGGUUCUCCCCGAAAGCUAUUUAGGUAGCGCCUCGUGAACUCAUCUUCGGGGGUAGAGCACUGUUUCGGCUAGGGGGCCAUCCCGGCUUACCAACCCGAUGCAAACUACGAAUACCGAAGAAUGUUAUCACGGGAGACACACGGCGGGUGCUAACGUCCGUCGUGAAGAGGGAAACAACCCAGACCGCCAGCUAAGGUCCCAAAGUCAUGGUUAAGUGGGAAACGAUGUGGGAAGGCACAGACAGCCAGGAUGUUGGCUUAGAAGCAGCCAUCAUUUAAAGAAAGCGUAAUAGCUCACUGGUCGAGUCGGCCUGCGCGGAAGAUGUAACGGGGCUAAACCAUGCACCGAAGCUGCGGCAGCGACGCUUAUGCGUUGUUGGGUAGGGGAGCGUUCUGUAAGCCGUUGAAGGUGUGCUGUGAGGCAUGCUGGAGGUAUCAGAAGUGCGAAUGCUGACAUAAGUAACGAUAAAGCGGGUGAAAAGCCCGCUCGCCGGAAGACCAAGGGUUCCUGUCCAACGUUAAUCGGGGCAGGGUGAGUCGACCCCUAAGGCGAGGCCGAAAGGCGUAGUCGAUGGGAAACAGGUUAAUAUUCCUGUACUUGGUGUUACUGCGAAGGGGGGACGGAGAAGGCUAUGUUAGCCGGGCGACGGUUGUCCCGGUUUAAGCAUGUAGGCGGAGGUUCCAGGUAAAUCCGGUACCUUUUUAACGCUGAGGUGUGAUGACGAGGCACUACGGUGCUGAAGUAACAAAUGCCCUGCUUCCAGGAAAAGCCUCUAAGCAUCAGGUAACAUCAAAUCGUACCCCAAACCGACACAGGUGGUCAGGUAGAGAAUACCAAGGCGCUUGAGAGAACUCGGGUGAAGGAACUAGGCAAAAUGGUGCCGUAACUUCGGGAGAAGGCACGCUGAUAUGUAGGUGAAGCCCCUGCGGGUGGAGCUGAAAUCAGUCGAAGAUACCAGCUGGCUGCAACUGUUUAUUAAAAACACAGCACUGUGCAAACACGAAAGUGGACGUAUACGGUGUGACGCCUGCCCGGUGCCGGAAGGUUAAUUGAUGGGGUUAGCGGCAACGCGAAGCUCUUGAUCGAAGCCCCGGUAAACGGCGGCCGUAACUAUAACGGUCCUAAGGUAGCGAAAUUCCUUGUCGGGUAAGUUCCGACCUGCACGAAUGGCGUAAUGAUGGCCAGGCUGUCUCCACCCGAGACUCAGUGAAAUUGAACUCGCUGUGAAGAUGCAGUGUACCCGCGGCAAGACGGAAAGACCCCGUGAACCUUUACUAUAGCUUGACACUGAACACUGGUCCUUGAUGUGUAGGAUAGGUGGGAGGCUUUGAAGCGUGGACGCCAGUCUGCGUGGAGCCAACCUUGAAAUACCACCCUUUAAUGGCUGGUGUUCUAACGUAGACCCGUAAUCCGGGUUGCGGACAGUGUCUGGUGGGUAGUUUGACUGGGGCGGUCUCCUCCCAAAGAGUAACGGAGGAGCACGAAGGUUAGCUAAUCCUGGUCGGACAUCAGGAGGUUAGUGCAAUGGCAUAAGCUAGCUUGACUGCGAGAGUGACGGCUCGAGCAGGUGCGAAAGCAGGUCAUAGUGAUCCGGUGGUUCUGAAUGGAAGGGCCAUCGCUCAACGGAUAAAAGGUACUCCGGGGAUAACAGGCUGAUACCGCCCAAGAGUUCAUAUCGACGGCGGUGUUUGGCACCUCGAUGUCGGCUCAUCACAUCCUGGGGCUGAAGUAGGUCCCAAGGGUAUGGCUGUUCGCCAUUUAAAGUGGUACGCGAGCUGGGUUUAGAACGUCGUGAGACAGUUCGGUCCCUAUCUGCCGUGGGCGCUGGAGAAUUGAGGGGGGCUGCUCCUAGUACGAGAGGACCGGAGUGGACGCAUCACUGGUGUUCGGGUUGUCAUGCCAAUGGCACUGCCCGGUAGCUAAAUGCGGAAAAGAUAAGUGCUGAAAGCAUCUAAGCACGAAACUUGCCCCGAGAUGAGUUCUCCCUGACCCUUUAAGGGUCCUGAAGGAACGUUGAAGACUACGACGUUGAUAGGUCGGGUGUGUAAGCGCAGCGAUGCGUUGAGCUAACCGAUACUAAUGAACCGUGAGGCUUAACCUUACAACGCCGAAGCUGUU
rnacentral:rRNA from 1 species